rnacentral:rRNA from 1 species
GGGGGGGGGGCAAGCGUUGUUCGGAAUUACUGGGCGUAAAGGGCGCGUAGGCGGACGAGACAGUCUUUCGUGAAAUCCCACGGGCUCAACCGUGGAACUGCGGGAGAUACUACUCGUCUUGAGUUCGGGAGAGGAGUGUGGAAUUCCCAGUGUAGCGGUGAAAUGCGUAGAUAUUGGGAGGAACACCGGUGGCGAAGGCGGCACUCUGGACCGAUACUGACGCUGAGGCGCGAAAGCUAGGGGAGCAAACGGGAUUAGAUACCCCGGUAGUCCUAGCUGUAAACGAUGAGCACUUGGUGUAGCGGGUAUCGACCCCUGCUGUGCCGGAGUUAACGCAUUAAGUGCUCCGCCUGGGGAGUACGGUCGCAAAGGCUG